AAUUGCUGUAAUUAGAAUGUUUCUUGCGGUCGCCGAUGACGAGAAAUUUAAUCUUGAAAGCGCUUCGUCAAUUUGGAAGCGAGUGGAUCCUUGAUAUAAGGAGGAAAAUAAAUAAGUAGAAAAUUUAGUCGAAAAUCGAAUUUGGCAAACGAUUGCUCACCAGGAUGAAUGGAAAUUCAGUGAUAAUCAUUUACAACAAAUCAAAAUUGAUGUAUUCAGAGUCAAAGAAGCGUUAUUUUUGGCACCAGAAGUGCAAGAACUGAUUUCAGGUGCGUGUUGAUCGUUCCGGAUAUAAAAAUCACAGUAAUUAUAGGUAGAAUUCAUGUAUUUAUUUUAUUUUUACACACUUUUCAAUUGUUCUACGAAUCUACUUUGGUUUUCGGAUGCCCUUUCGUAGAAUACAUAGAAGGCCCAAUGGCCGAGUAGUUAAAAUGGCACUCUACCACUCUGGAGGAUACGAAAUCGAAUCCGGACUGAAUCGAAAAAUUUCCAUGAAUUUUCGGGUUGGUCCGUUCCUAGCCUAGGUAUGUCAAGUUCUUCACCUCACCACUCUCAUUUACUUCAUUGUGGAUCAAGCGGAAACAAUAACGGGCUUGCCGGUGGCGCGUUAUACCUUCAUGGAACCCAGGUGAAUUUGAAUUAGGGUCUCCAAGUACAUUGUUGACUUCAGACAUUUUUCUUCGGGGGAUUUUUUGAGGGGAAAUAUAUUUCUUAUAAAUGAUCGUUUGGGGCUCCUUGUUGAUGGAGCCCCAGGAAAUUGCCAUAGGAGAUAACACGCUUCUGGGGCUUGCUAAGGAGGCUUUCUUUAGCAAGCUAAGGAGGCUUUUCAGAGCGGAAAGAGUAAAUAAAAAACUUGAAUAUUUAGU